AAUAAAUUGUAUAGCUAUCUUUGCCCUUAUAUAUAGCACGUUGAUUGUCAUAACACAUACAUGUUACAUUAGGAAUAAUCUCAGCUAGCAAUACAAUUUAUUAUAUGACCAAUUUUCUUUUAUCCUUUACCAGCUUGGAACCAGAAAAUUUUUAUUUUAGGGAUCAAUCAUAAUAUAUAUAUAUCAAUAAAAUAAAUUGGAACAUCCAAACAAUUC
rnacentral:misc_RNA from 1 species